CACCAAAGCGCCACGUCACAACGGAUGCGCAAUCACUAUUUUAUGUGAGUGCAGAUUUGUAUUAAAACCGGAAAGCAUGGACACCCAGACAGCUUACUGUCAAUGACUGUACUAUUCACUGUCUUCAACAAAAGUCAGCUAUUCCAGGAAACUCUCGUCCAGAAAGAUAAAAAUUGAGAAUGAGACAUCAAUCAAUAUGCGGAAGAUUUACAUGGUUCGGUCUGGAAGGGUGGGACAAUUCGAAGGGUGAGGAGAGAAGAGGAGCUUCCGGGUCAUAGAAUCAACCACUGACCUACCAGAAUCCACCAUGGACCUGGAGUCACCCACAGAUGUGUACCUGGAGAACACCCAGGCUUUCCAAAAUGAAGCAAAUUCUCCAUUAGCUGUGAUGAUCACUGCUAUCCACUACUUUCUAAGAAGAUUCUAUGCUUUUGAGCAUGCCUACCACUACACUAUAGGAGAUCUAUUGUAGAAGACUAGAAAAACAUAGGAUGUGCCCAGCUGAGGCAUUGAUCCUGGCUGGGUAGGGGGAAUUGUUCAGGGAUGGGGAAGGGGCACUUCUUAGCUGUGUCUCAUCGAGUACGGGCUCAAUAAAUAAUUGAAUUUUGAGAGUGG
rnacentral:lncRNA from 1 species